UGGGGAAUUGUUCGCAAUGGGCGCAAGCCUGACGACGCAACGCCGCGUGGAGGAUGAAGACCUUCGGGUCGUAAACUCCUUUCGAUCGAGACGAAUGGCCUCCGGGUGAACAAUCCGGAGGAGUGACGGUACCGAGAGAAGAAGCCCCGGCUAACUCCGUGCCAGCAGCCGCGGUAAUACAGGGGGUGCAAGCGUUAUUCGGAAUUAUUGGGCGUAAAGCGCGCGUAGGUGGUUUACUAAGUCCGGUGUGAAAGCCCUCGACUCAAUCGAGGAAGUGCAUUGGAUACUGGUAGACUAGAGUAUAGGAGGGGUGAGCGGAAUUCCUGGUGUAGAGGUGAAAUUCGUAGAUAUCAGGAGGAACAACAGUGGCGAAAGCGGCUCACUAGACUAUAACUGACACUCUGGCGCGAAAGCGUGGGUAGCAAACAGGAUUAGAUACCCACGUAGUCCCUGAGCGGGCUGGCAAGGCGCAU
rnacentral:rRNA from 1 species